UUUCAAACAUAUACGCAAUGU
rnacentral:piRNA from 1 species